rnacentral:rRNA from 2 species
AAAUUGAAGAGUUUGAUCAUGGCUCAGAUUGAACGCUGGCGGCAGGCCUAACACAUGCAAGUCGAACGGUAACAGGAAGCAGCUUGCUGCUUYGCUGACGAGUGGCGGACGGGUGAGUAAUGUCUGGGAAACUGCCUGAUGGAGGGGGAUAACUACUGGAAACGGUGGCUAAUACCGCAUAACGUCGCAAGACCAAAGAGGGGGACCUUCGGGCCUC